CCUACGGGAGGCAGCAGUGAGGAAUAUUGGUCAAUGGACGAGAGUCUGAACCAGCCAAGUAGCGUGAAGGAUGACUGCCCUAUGGGUUGUAAACUUCUUUUAUAUGGGAAUAAAAUGUUCCACGUGUGGGAUUUUGUAUGUACCAUAUGAAUAAGGAUCGGCUAACUCCGUGCCAGCAGCCGCGGUAAUACGGAGGAUCCGAGCGUUAUCCGGAUUUAUUGGGUUUAAAGGGAGCGUAGGUGGAUUGUUAAGUCAGUUGUGAAAGUUUCCGGCUCAACCGUAAAAGUGCAGUUGACACUGGCAGUCUUGAGUACAGUAGAGGUGGGCGGAAUUCGUGGUGUAGCGGUGAAAUGCUUAGAUAUCACGAAGAACUCCGAUUGCGAAGGCAGUUCACUGGACUGCAACUGACACUGAGGCUCGAAAGUGUGGGUAUCAAACAGGAUUAGAUACCCGUGUAGUC
rnacentral:rRNA from 1 species